UCUGUGAAGAGGGGAGAGAGAGAGAGAGAGAGAGAGAGAGAAAAGAAGAAGAAGAAGAAGAAGAAUAAUGGAGAAGGCGGCAAAAAUGAUUUGCUCCAGUAGUGGGGUUUUUUGGGCUUUUAUCUGUUGCUUUGGGUCUUGCUGCGGACGCAACGAGGAUAAAGGGAGUAUUAGCUAGUAGAAGCACAAAGUUCAGUUGAGUCUGUCUCCGACUCUCCACGUGCAGCAUCGGUUUGAGUGGUAAAACGCUGGUUGAAUGAGACGAUCAAGUUUAAUGAAGUUGCAAUUGUCUAUUGUUGUAAGUUUUUAUAUGGACUGCCUGAUACAUCAUUAGUUUUGAGGAUUGUCCAUAUUUCAGUCGCUUCACAUCUAGAAUGACCGAGACUUCAACAGUUCUUGACAUGGUCAUUGAUUACUAACCUGCGAAAAUGUCAAUCGCUCCUUCAUAGUCUGGAGUAAUAUGAUUUGCACUGUUAUUAGGCUACUUAGGCUGUUUCUUUAUCGUCAAGCCAGCGAUUAGUCGUUUCAUCUGCUAUUCACCCUUUUUGCCCCCUUCUUUUGCAGGCUUCUCAGAUUCAUUUUGCCUCUUCUUCUACUUGUACAUACCCUAGCAGUUCAGCUUGGGGUCUUGGAUUAGCUGCAGCAGUGUCUCUUGCGGUUGCUCAAAUUAUCUUCAGUAUCGCUGCCGGCUGCUUUUGUUACACACUUGGUUCUUAUACAUCAUACCCUGAUAGGAUAUGGGCAAUGAUCAGCUUUUUCAGCUCAUAGUUGGCAUUUGUCGCAGCAUUCUGUAAGUUACUAUCUGAUGCUGCACCCCAUGGACACCACGGGAACGAGAAAAUGUACUUUGGCAACCACUCUUGCUACUUCGUGAAGAGCGGAGUCUUUGCUGAAGCUGCUUCCUGGUCCCUUAUUGCUGUGGUAUGUGGAAACACCUGUUAUCUCGGUUUGGAUUCCGUAAAAAUCAGAAAUAAGGGCGGCAGCGCAAUGGUACACCCGCAGUGCCCCCCACCGCAAUCUCCUCCUCCGAAUGUAUGAGGUGGCAAUUUACUUGAUUACUCUCCCCUAUAAAACUUGUUGAUGCGAAGGGUGAUUAUUUAGGGUAGGGGUUGGGGGAAGUUCCUCCUCACACUUGUUUUUCGCUUUGUUCGUCUGGCCUAACGUAUCCCCCGGCCCGAAUAGGUUUAGAAGAUAGAAAGAGUACAUGUGAAGCAAAUAUGUUUACCAAAAUAUGCAGAUCAUCAAUGGAGGUGAGAUGUUUUUAGUUGUAUGCUGUGCAGAUCAUCACUAAUGUCACCACUGAU